CAAAUUAAUCCUUUUAAAAAUCCUAAUUAGAAUUUGUGUUUCCUAUUUUUGAUUAUGAUUUAUUAUUCCUUAUUUUUUUAUCUUAUUAGACGUAACAACCCAAAUUUGCCUGGUCCCAAAAGCACAAACAAAAAUAAACAUUAAAUUAGAUUAAAAUAAAAACAAAAAAAAACAACAACAAUAAGCAGUCCAUUUUAAAUGUCCAUUUACAGACUUUAGGCCCAAUACAAACUAACCCAAUGUAUAGCCUAACACCAGCCAGAUUCUACCCUGACCCAAUACAACAGACCCAAACCUUAGCCCAACUCGAAGUGGCC
rnacentral:lncRNA from 1 species